rnacentral:rRNA from 2 species
UAAAACCAGCACCUCAAGUGGUCAGGAUGAUUAUUGGGCCUAAAGCAUCCGUAGCCGGCUAUGAUAGUUCUCGGUUAAAUCCAUGUGCUCAACACAUGGGCUGUCGAGAAUACUGCAUAGCUAGGGAGUGGGAGAGGUAGACGGUACUCUGUAGGAAGGGGUAAAAUCCUUUGAUCUAUAGAAGACCACCAGUGGCGAAGGCGGUCUACCAGAACACGUCCGACGGUGAGGGAUGAAAGCUGGGGGAGCAAACCGGAUUAGAUACCCGGGUAGUCCCAGCUGUAAACUAUGCAAACUCAGUGAUGCAUUGGCUUGUGGCCAGUGCAGUGCCGCAGAGAAGUCGUUGAGUUUGCCGCCUGGGAAGUACGUACGCAAGUAUG